GUCUACAUCCAUGCCACCUUGAACAAGCCCGAUCUUGUCUGAUCUCGGAAGCUAAGCAGGAUCGGGCCUGGUUAGUACUUGGAUGGGAGACCAUGUAGGAAGACAAGGUGCUGUAGGUG
rnacentral:rRNA from 1 species